GGGUUGUGAGGUUAAGCGACUAAGCGUACACGGUGGAUGCCCUGGCAGUCAGAGGCGAUGAAGGACGUGCUAAUCUGCGAUAAGCGUCGGUAAGGUGAUAUGAACCGUUAUAACCGGCGAUUUCCGAAUGGGGAAACCCAGUGUGAUUCGUCACACUAUCGUUAACUGAAUACAUAGGUUAACGAAGCGAACCGGGGGAACUGAAACAUCUAAGUACCCCGAGGAAAAGAAAUCAACCGAGAUUCCCCCAGUAGCGGCGAGCGAACGGGGAGGAGCCCAGAGCCUGAAUCAGCAUGUGUGUUAGUGGAAGCGUCUGGAAAGGCGCGCGAUACAGGGUGACAGCCCCGUACACAAAAGCGCAUGUGCUGUGAGCUCGAUGAGUAGGGCGGGACACGUGGUAUCCUGUCUGAAUAUGGGGGGACCAUCCUCCAAGGCUAAAUACUCCUGACUGACCGAUAGUGAACCAGUACCGUGAGGGAAAGGCGAAAAGAACCCCGGCGAGGGGAGUGAAAAAGAACCUGAAACCGUGUACGUACAAGCAGUGGGAGCCCCACCACCAAAGCAUUCUCUGGUGUUGAAGGCCCUGCAAAGCAGCAUCGCGGUGGCGGAGCGUCGUUUGCGACGCCCAACACACAAAACAAGCGGUGAGUGCUUUGGGGUGGGGUGACUGCGUACCUUUUGUAUAAUGGGUCAGCGACUUAUAUUCUGUAGCAAGGUUAACCGUAUAGGGGAGCCGAAGGGAAACCGAGUCUUAACUGGGCGUUAAGUUGCAGGGUAUAGACCCGAAACCCGGUGAUCUAGCCAUGGGCAGGUUGAAGGUUGGGUAACACUAACUGGAGGACCGAACCGACUAAUGUUGAAAAAUUAGCGGAUGACUUGUGGCUGGGGGUGAAAGGCCAAUCAAACCGGGAGAUAGCUGGUUCUCCCCGAAAGCUAUUUAGGUAGCGCCUCGUGAACUCAUCUUCGGGGGUAGAGCACUGUUUCGGCUAGGGGGUCAUCCCGACUUACCAACCCGAUGCAAACUGCGAAUACCGAAGAAUGUUAUCACGGGAGACACACGGCGGGUGCUAACGUCCGUCGUGAAGAGGGAAACAACCCAGACCGCCAGCUAAGGUCCCAAAGUCACAGUUAAGUGGGAAACGAUGUGGGAAGGCUCAGACAGCCAGGAUGUUGGCUUAGAAGCAGCCAUCAUUUAAAGAAAGCGUAAUAGCUCACUGGUCGAGUCGGCCUGCGCGGAAGAUGUAACGGGGCUAAACUGUGCACCGAAGCUGUGGCAGCGACGCUUAUGCGUUGUUGGGUAGGGGAGCGUUCUGUAAGCCUGCGAAGGUGUCCUGUGAGGGAUGCUGGAGGUAUCAGAAGUGCGAAUGCUGACAUAAGUAACGAUAA
rnacentral:rRNA from 1 species